rnacentral:rRNA from 1 species
GACGAACGCUGGCGGCGUGCUUAACACAUGCAAGUCGAACGGAAAGGCCCUGCUUUUGUGGGGUGCUCGAGUGGCGAACGGGUGAGUAACACGUGAGUAACCUGCCCUUGACUUUGGGAUAACUUCAGGAAACUGGGGCUAAUACCGGAUAGGAGCUCCUGCUGCAUGGUGGGGGUUGGAAAGUUUCGGCGGUUGGGGAUGGACUCGCGGCUUAUCAGCUUGUUGGUGGGGUAGUGGCUUACCAAGGCUUUGACGGGUAGCCGGCCUGAGAGGGUGACCGGCCACAUUGGGAAUGAGAUACGGCACAGAAUCCUACGGGAGGCAGCAGUGGGGAAUAUUGCACAAUGGGCGGAAGCCUGAUGCAGCAACGCCGCGUGCGGGAUGACGGCCUUCGGGUUGUAAACCGCUUUAGCCUGUGACGAAGCGUGAGUGACGGUAAUGGGUAAAGAAGCACCGGCUAACUACGUG